rnacentral:misc_RNA from 1 species
UACGGAGGGUGCAAGCGUUGUCCGGAAUCAUUGGGUGUAAAGGGUGCGUAGGCGGAAGCCUAAGUCGGAGGUGAAAUCUUGCCGCUCAACGGUAAAAUGGCCUUCGAUACUGGGUUUCUUGAGUUCGGAAGAGGUUGGUGGAAUUCGUGGUGUAGCGGUGAAAUGCAUAGAGAUCACGAAGAACAUCGGUGGCGAAGGCGGCCAACUGGUCCGAUACUGAUGCUGAGGCACGAGAGCAUGGGGAGCAAACAGG